CUGUUCAAGCUCACGACUUUUGCCGAAGUCUUUGAUAGAGCGCUGUGGGCAGCGCAUGGAGAUGCCCACGUGCGGGACGAACGCGAACUGCUGGCUGGGUCUCAAGACAGGGGGAAGAAGCGAUUGGGUGGUGGUUCGGGGGGUCAGUCGAGUUCCAAGAGACUCCUGAAGCACCCACGGUCGCAGUCGUGGAAUCGUGGGCCGCAACAGUGUAUUAUCUGCGGUGGUGGGGGCCAUCGAGCGCCACAGUGUAGGCAACGUCAAGGUAGAUGUUACAACUGCGGACAAGAAGGGCACGUAAGCCGCGACUGUCUAGCAAGGGCCCC
rnacentral:lncRNA from 1 species